AGUCAUCUUGCAGAUGUAAGCCCUUGUUCAUCAGGGAGCUGUGGCAAGGGAACUGACCCAUCAACAAGUCCGUCUUCAUUGGGGAAAAGCAACUUGAAGCCUUCCUACUGAUGAAGUAGAAAUCUUGAAAACUUGAGUGAUGCUCAAGUAUCCUCUAUUGUGCAAGUUGACCACUCCCGGUAGAAGAAUCAUCUAGCCUCUAGUGUGAAUAAUGACAAGGCCAAGAUAACCGUCGCAUCCAUCACUGAAAGUAGAAGUCAAAGAAGAGAGCUCAUGAUUCCAAGUUUGGAGGUGACAAACUCGUGAGGCACACUCCUCCUCAUCCAAAGAAAAUAAUCUAACAUUGACGACUCUUCAUUUUCUUUUUCAUGGUCUCACACGGUGAAUUGGGAAAUGAAGACAGGAGAAUCCCCCGGAAGUCCACCGGCCAGUUAUCCGGGUGUGAUGUCUGCAGUAGUGAAUAAUGACAGUCCAGACAGAAAGGAAGGAAGCAAGUUUGGCAAAGUUUCCUCCACCCACACUUUGAUGGAGUCAGAUGCCCACUGGCCUGGGUGGAGCCCAUCCUUGCUGAGUGAUCAACGGAAGGUUAUGUGGAUGAGCAGCACAGAGACAAGAUUCUUCCACGUUCUUUGGUGCUGUGAUAACUUGGGGAGGAUGCGGAAGAAACCAGCCUGGAUGGCCUGUGAGCUUCUUUUUACUGUCGGUUUCCUUUGCCAUCGAUGUGUUGGGAUCAGAGACACAUGUGUCACCUUUAUGUGGGUCCUGGGAAAUGGAAUCAGGACUGGCAGCCUUGCAAGGAAGUGACACUAUUGAGCAGUCUUCUCAGCCCACUCUCUUCUAUAGUUUUAUAAAAUGAAACGUGAAUGUACCUGGAAACUGUGUGUAGUUUGGAUUUUUGUGAGUUCAAAGCACUCAUGUGAAUAAAUAUGCAACUUUUAUGGAGAACCAA